AAUUCUCAAAACCCUUUCUUUUGGUCAUUUUUGACCAUUGAAAGGAUUUUGGACUUGGAGGCCUUUUUGCUGGUUUCACCUUGAAGCGAGCUCCUCCCAAAUGUAUUAGUGGGGUCUGCAUUGUCGGUCCUUGGCGUGAUAAGUUGUUUCUACGUCUUGGAUUUUUGGCGCUGUACACCUGCUUCUAACCGUCUCAUUGACAACGAUGGUGUUUCGGUCGCCGCCGAUUUUUCGGUGGGAGGCUUGACCCACGAAACAAA
rnacentral:misc_RNA from 1 species